GACGAGCUCCCCGAACGUUAUUCGGUAUCACUGGGCUUAAAGAGUUCGUAGGCGGUCUGGUAGGUGAGGUGUGAAAUCCCCCGGCUCAACCGGGGAACUGCGCUUCAAACCACCGGACUUGAGGGAGACAGAGGUGGGCGGAACAGAUGGUGGAGCGGUGAAAUGCGUUGAUAUCAUCUGGAACACCGGUGGCGAAAGCGGCCCACUGGGUCUUUUCUGACGCUGAGGAACGAAAGCUAGGGUAGCGAACGGGAUUAGAUACCCCGGUAGUCCUAGCCGUAAACGAUGAGCACUAGCCCGUGGGGACUUUCACAUCCUCUCGGGCGUAGCGAAAGUGUUAAGUGCUCCGCCUGGGGAGUAUGGUCGCAAGGCUGAA
rnacentral:rRNA from 1 species